rnacentral:tRNA from 1 species
GUCCAGGGAUGGGAAUCGAACCCACAAUGUUACGCUUACCGGGCAGAUGCCAUGUCCACUAGGCUACCCUGGA